rnacentral:rRNA from 1 species
UACGUAGGGUGCGAGCGUUAAUCGGAAUUACUGGGCGUAAAGCGUGCGCAGGCGGUUCGUUAAGUUCGUUGUGAAAGCCCCGGGCUCAACCUGGGAACUGCAAUGGAAACUGGCGGGCUUGAGUGUGGCAGGGGGGGGUGGAAUUCCUGGUGUAGCGGUGAAAUGCGCAGAUAUCAGGAGGAACACCAAUUGCGAAGGCAGCUCGCUGGGACGUAACUGACGCUGAGACGCGAAAGCGUGGGGAGCAAACAGG